UACGGGGGGGGCAAGCGUUGUUCGGAAUUACUGGGCGUAAAGGGCUCGUAGGCGGCCAACUAAGUCGGAUGUGAAAUCCCCAGGCUUAACCUGGGAACUGCAUCCGAUACUGGAAGGCUUGAAUCCGGGAGAGGGAUGUGGAAUUCCAGGUGUAGCGGUGAAAUGCGUAGAUAUCUGGAGGAACACCGGUGGUGAAGACGGGUGACUGGGCUAGUUCUGACACUGAGGCACGAAAGCGUGGGGAGCGAACGGG
rnacentral:rRNA from 1 species